GACGAACGCUGGCGGCGUGCUUAACACAUGCAAGUUGAACGGGGCAUAUAUUUGACAAACUUUUCGGAGUUUAGAAGAUAUAUGUUUAGUAGCGGACGGGUGAGUAACACGUGGGUAACCUGCCCAUAAGAGGGGGAUAACAUCCGGAAACGGGUGCUAAUACCGCAUGGUUUUCUUGAUCGCAUGAUUGAGAAAGGAAAGGCGGCCUUUGUGCUGUCGCUUAUGGAUGGACCCGCGGCGUAUUAGUUAGUUGGUGAGGUAACGGCU
rnacentral:rRNA from 1 species